UACAGAGGGUGCAAGCGUUGUUCGGAAUUACUGGGCGUAAAGCGCGUGUAGGCGGCGUCGUUAGUCGGAUGUGAAAGCCCCUCGGCUCAACCGAGGAAGUGCAUCCGAUACUGCGAGGCUUGAGUGUUGGAGGGGGUGGCGGAAUUCCCGGUGUAGAGGUGAAAUUCGUAGAUAUCGGGAGGACACCUGUGGCGAAGGCGGCCACCUGGACACAACUGACGCUGAGACGCGAAAGCGUGGGUAGCAAACAGG
rnacentral:rRNA from 1 species